AGUGAACGCUGGCGGUAGGCCUAACACAUGCAAGUCGAACGGCAGCACAGUAAGAGCCUGCUCUUACGGGUGGCGAGUGGCGGACGGGUGAGGAAUACAUCGGAAUCUACUUUUUCGUGGGGGAUAACGUAGGGAAACUUACGCUAAUACCGCAUACGACCUACGGGUGAAAGCAGGGGAUCUUCGGACCUUGCGCGAUUGAAUGAGCCGAUGUCGGAUUAGCUAGUUGGCGGGGUAAAGGCCCACCAAGGCGACGAUCCGUAGCUGGUCUGAGAGGAUGAUCAGCCACACUGGAACUGAGACACGGUCCAGACUCCUACGGGAGGCAGCAGUGGGGAAUAUUGGACAAUGGGCGCAAGCCUGAUCCAGCCAUACCGCGUGGGUGAAGAAGGCCUUCGGGUUGUAAAGCCCUUUUGUCGGGAAAGAAAAGCAGCAGGUUAAUACCCCGCUGUUCUGACGGUACCCAAAGAAUAAGCACCGGCUAACUUCGUG
rnacentral:rRNA from 1 species